GAGAGGUAUCGGAAGAGUUUCUUUCUGUUUUAUAGCCGUACUACCAUGGAAGUCUUUCGCAGAGAGAUAUGGUAGAUGGGCUAGAAGAGCAUGACAUAUACUGUUGUGUCGAUAUUUUUCCUCGGACCUUGAAAAUUUAUGGUGGGGAUACGCAAACUUCUCAACAGGCCGUACCAAUAUCCGCAUCUAGUCACCAAGGUGAAGAGUCUCUAGUCGAUAGAAUAAUGUAAGUAAGGGAAGUCGGCAAAUUAGAUCCGUAACUUCGGGAUAAGGAUUGGAUCUGAAGAUUGAGAUAGUCGGGCUUGAUUGGGAAACAAUAACAUGGUUUAUGUGCUCGUUCUGGGUAAAUAGAGUUUCGAUCAUUUAUGAUAGUUAUUUGUUCCCCGGAUAGUUAGUUACUUUGCCAAUUGUGGAACUUUCUUGCUACAAUUUUUAAGAAUACUAAUUUUUAAUUAGUUCUUUUAAAUAAUAACGAUUAUCAAUUAACAAUCAAUUAAGGACUGGCACGGACUUGGGAAAUCCAACUGUCUAAUUAAAACAAAGCAUUGUGAUGGCCCUAGCGGGUGAUGACACAAUGUGAUUUCUGCCCAGUGCUCUGAAUGUCAAAGUGAAAAAAUUCAAGUAAGCGCGGGUCAACGGCGGGAGUAACUAUGGCUCUCUUUCACAUCUUGCAAAAAUGCUAUCGUACGCACGGGAGGCGGGUAGCUAGACACAACAGCGUAGUAAAUGCCGUCAAGCGGUGACUUGAACGGAAAGGCUGCGUUGUCCAUAUCGAACCAAGUCUGCAAUGCGAUUCGGGCUUAAAUAAACCGGAGGACCUGGUGGGAAUCCGACAGAAUCACAUUUAUGUGAUAGACGUUUAGAUUGUGACAGGCGGACAUUCCUUAGACCAAGCGCACCAGCGCAAGGUCGAAAGGUACGACAGAGCUGACAUAAGAUCACAAAUGCGGCGAUUUUUCGGAGUGACAGGUGAAAUCGAGUUUCAUUCCGUUACACUCAACUGGAGAGGAAUCUGGAGCGGUCAGUCGGUAAAACGAUUGAUUGCAAUAGAUCUCCUCAUCGCUGAAGAUACCAAACUCAUCAGCGUCAGAGCAGUAAAUGGCGGAGUGACGUCUUUCAAAUAUUUCAUGUAUUGUGCUGGGUAUACUCGAAGCUAGAUGUACUAACCUCUAGUUUCUCUUAUACUUUUGCCGUCUACCUUGGCAUUCUAUCUAAAAAGGUACAAACAUCGCAUUGUCAAAAAGAGGUCGUUUUAGUGCGUAGGCGCUGUGGGACUUCAUUGUCCCGAUGAUGCAGCGAAUCGUGCAUACGAGAUUGUCCAGUAGUUGGUUGCUCGUAUCUUUAAAAGAAAGCCAAAUGCCUCGUCAUCUAAUUAGUGACGCGCAUGAAUGGAUUAACGAGAUUCCUACUGUCCCUAUCUACUAUCUGGCGAAACCACAGCCAAGGGAACGGGCUUGGAAUAAUUAGCGGGAAAAGAAGACCCUUUUGAGCUUGACUCUAAUCUGGCAGUGUAAGGAGACAUAAGAGGUGUAGAAUAAGUGGGAGAUAUUAUUCCUUGUGUUUGAUAUCGCCAAUGAAAUACCACUACUCUUAUUGUUUGCUUACUUACUUGAUUAAAUGGAACGUGUAUCAUUUCCUAGCCAUUAUACGGAUAUAUUUAUUAUAUCGUAUGGUAUUGAGUUUUGAUGCAAGCUUCUUGAUCAAAGUAUCACGAGUUUGUUAUAUAA
rnacentral:ncRNA from 1 species